rnacentral:rRNA from 1 species
GAUGAACGCUGGCGGCGUGCCUAAUACAUGCAAGUCGAGCGAACGGACGAGAAGCUUGCUUUUCUGAUGUUAGCGGCGGACGGGUGAGUAACACGUGGAUAACCUACCUAUAAGACUGGGAUAACUUCGGGAAACCGGAGCUAAUACCGGAUAAUAUUUUGAACCGCAUGGUUCAAAAGUGAAAGACGGUCUUGCUGUCACUUAUCGAUGGAUCCGCGCUGCAUUAGCUAGUUGGUAAGGUAACGGCUUACCAAGGCAACGAUGCAUAGCCGACCUGUGAGGGUGAUCGGCCACACUGGAACUGAGACACGGUCCAGACUCCUACGGGAGGCAGCAGUAGGGAAUCUUCCGCAAUGGGCGAAAGCCUGACGGAGCAACGCCGCGUGAGUGAUGAAGGUCUUCGGAUCGUAAAACUCUGUUAUUAGGGAAGAACAUAUGUGUAAGUAACUGUGCACAUCUUGACGGUACCUAAUCAGAAAGCCACGGCUAACUACGUG